AUAUGCAAAAAAGGGAAGAGAUUUAUACGAGGUUUGACAAAGUCAUCCGACAAAACGACCACCAAACCUCCGUUCUCACCGUCUUCAAUUCCCGCAACCACCGUAUGAGUAAACCCUAAUCCUAACUAAACCCCAACUUUAAAGCCUGAAAAUCACUGUAAUUUGUCAGUAAUUGACAUCCAAUGAAGAAGGGGCCAUGCAAAGAAGGGGAUGUUAACUGCGUUGAAGUAUCGGUUCUCCAUCCAGAUCUUCCGAUCACAACUACGAUUUUCCGUUGUUUAGAGCUAUGGUACUCUUCGAUUGAUUACCUGUUCCGAAAGAUAAAGAGGUUUUAAUUUGUUACAGUUGAAGUUUGAUGUUGUUCAGGUUCGCAUAGAAACGAAUCCAGCUGCUAGAACCUGAUCACGCAUGAUAGUGGCAUGAGAGAACCCCAAACUAACAUUUGAGUAUGCAUUCGGUUUUGAUAUUAUCUGGUUGAAUGUCAACAAAGGCCGAAUCUUUGUGAUCACUAUCUUUUAUUCGGUUUCGCAAAACAAUAACUCAACAGACUUGGUGAAAUAUUGAAUUGCCACAAUCUUUUUCCAUUUAAUCAAAAUUAGAGGUGUAUGUAUGGGAAUAUAGUUUGGUGAUCGAGUUAGGAAUGAACUCGGUAAUGAGUCAAAUCAAAGUUUUCGUGUUUUUUAUGUGCGGGUUAAGUUGGUCUACGUUUUAACGUAAAUUUUGUUUGGAAAUGAGUCAACCAAAUAUUGGAUGGUAUAAACUGAGUUACUUUAAGUUUGAGGCCGCCGCAACGCGCGGCGAGUCAAAAACCUAGUUGGAUCAAAAUGGCAAUUGAAAACAUUUAAAAUAAAAAUCCCCAAAAUACCCCUGGUUAAAGAUGGAGUUUUUGGAUGGAGUUAGUGUAUGUGAAGGGAAAAGUCAAGGACCCAGAGGCAAAAAAAAAACUAUUUGGACUAAAGUAGCAAAUUUGGACAAAACUCAGGGACUAAAAUGGCAAUUUACUCUUUUUUAUGGUUUAGAAGUUAGCCAAUUGACAUUAGGUUUAGUGAGCCCAAUGUCUAUUUGAUUUAAAUAAUAAUAAUAAGAGUAAAUUACAAGUUUUGUCCUUUAUGUUUACAUCAAAUUACAGGCGCUGUCCUUUUGGCCAAAAGUUUACAGGGGUGUCCUUAACCUUUCAAAAUCUUGCAUGUAUUGUCCUUUAGGCCAAACCUAAUUAGAAAUCUCAGUUAAAAACUGUCAUGUGCAAUGAGGGUAAAAUGGUAAUUUCCCUCUCAACCCAUACACUUUCCCUUCCUUCUUGUCUCCAACACUAUCCCUCAAACCUAACUCAAAUGUUUCCGAGCAAUCAUCAAUCAACGAACUCGCAAUCGAAUCUCUUGCUAACUCCCUCUCACCCCCAAUGCUCGGAAACCUCAUCCCUAAAUUACCAUAGCUGUAAGCAAUAGUCGUCGGGGAUACUUUCGCAUUCGAAACCGGAGUAGCCGCCAUCGUCUUUGUUUCAUCCAUCUCCGCCACCACCGCAGCCGCCAUUUUCCUAAUCGAGCUCGAUCUAUCGAGGCUUUUUCGUCUUUUGGAUGAAGAAUCGGUGUAAUACUCUCGGGUCUGGAUCGAACCACCGGGGAUUACUUCAUACGAGAUCCGACUGGCAUCUAGUGAAAACUUCGGGUCAAUAUCACAGGAUCUUCUACCGAACCCGUAAUCGGCAAUCUCAGACUUUGUUUCACGAUACUGACGAGAAAUUCGAUGUGAAAUCUGGUUUUUUUGAGUGAGAAUCGAGAUCUAUGGGAUCUUGCAUGGUUUUCAAUUCUUCUUCUUAUUCAUUUGUUUCUUCUAAUUCUUCAAUUUCCAAAAAAAGAAUUUAGAUUGUGAUAUAAAAAAAUAAUUGCAGGUUUUUCGAAGAAGAGUAGUUGUUAAGUGAAGGGUUAAGAGUUCGUAUAGAUUGGAGAAGAAAGAUAUUAGAUUGUGAUAUGAUAAUCGAAGUUUAGAUCAUAGUCUACAGGUUACUAGUUGCUGAGUUGAAUUGUUAUUUGAAUUUAAU
rnacentral:lncRNA from 1 species